GCUGCGACUAGUGUGGUCUGUCGGCCAUUUCCCCUCUCCCUCUUUUUUCACUUUGUACAGAGGCAUCUUCAAGGCAGCUUGAGUAAUAUCCAAACAAAAGCGGACAUUAAAUUUCAAUUAAUUUUCGGUUUACCCGUAUCCCGCGUCAUCUUCCACUCCGGCGGCCAGAUCACCUAAGACUGGGCAACACCGGAUCUGCAGAGGACCCGGUCCUCGUCCGUGGAUCUGGUCGAGGGAAAUCAUUUUCUCCAUUGUUUCCGAUCCGUGUUGGGAUGGCAAAGCCGAUUUCUGAUGUCUUCCCCAUGUAGUCGCGGGAUUCCAUCAUCAUCGGCUUUGACGUUUGCUCUGAGGCCACCAGCGGUUUGACAUGUACAUAUGAUGUAGUUUGAUCAUCGAAAAAAAAUGAUGUAGUUUGCUUUCCCGGAUAAUGCUAGACGUUCCUGUUUCUGAGACACAAACUUUUCUUGGCCAAAACCAAUAAUUGCGGAUUUUUUUUAUUCUUGGUGGGUUGAUUGUUGCUUUACCACGCGAUUCAGUUUUUGGCAUGUCUGAAGAAAAAAAUGCAGAAUUAAUAGCCU